rnacentral:rRNA from 1 species
CGGGAGGGGAGUGAAAUAGAUCCUGAAACCGCAUACAUACAAACAGUAGGAGCCCGCAAGGGUGACUGCGUACCUUUUGCAUAAUGGGUCAGCGACUUACGUUCAAUGGCAAGCUUAACCGAGUAGGGGAGGCGCAGCGAAAGCGAGUCCGAACAGGGCGACAUGAGUCGUUGGGCGUAGACCCGAAACCAGAUGAUCUAUCCAUGGCCAGGCUGAAGGUGUGGUAACACACACUGGAGGGCCGAACCGACUAGUGUUGCAAAAUUAGCGGAUGAGCUGUGGAUAGGGGUGAAAGGCUAAACAAAUCUGGAGAUAGCUGGUUCUCCCCGAAAACUAUUGAGGUAGUGCCUCGUGUAUGGCUCCAGGGGGUAGAGCACUGUUAUGGCUAGGGGGACAUGGCGUCUUACCAAACCAUGGCAAACUCCGAAUACUUGGAAGUCUGAGCACGGGAGACAGAGCACCGGGUGCUAACGUCCGGACUCAAAAGGGAAACAACCCAGACCGCCGGCUAAGGUCCCUAAUAUUGACUAAGUGGAAAACGAAGUGGGAAGGCUAAGACAGUCAGGAAGUUGGCUUAGAAGCAGCCAUCCUUCAAAGAAAGCGUAAUAGCUCACUGAUCGAGUCUUCCUGCGCGGAAGAUGUAACGGGGCUAAGUCAAUAACCGAAGCCGCGGAUUCGCAGCAAUGCGAGUGGUAGGGGAGCGUUCUGUAAGCCUGCGAAGGCGGAUCCGCGAGGACCGCUGGAGGUAUCAGAAGUGCGAAUGCUGACAUGAGUAACGUUAAAGCGGGUGAAAAGCCCGCUCGCCGCAAGCCCAAGGUUUCCUGCUCUACGUUCAUCGGAGCAGGGUGAGUCGGCCCCUAAGGUCAGGCUGAGAAGCGUAGCUGAUGGGAAGCUGGUUAAUAUUCCAGCACCGAUUUCAAGUGCGAAGGGGGGACGGAGUCCUGAAGGUCAUCCGGGUGUUGGAUAUCCCGGUUUACGAGCGUAGGAGGUUGACAGGCAAAUCCGUCAACGGAUCUCCAAGGCGAAGGAUCGAGGUUGAGAGAUCAACUGAAGUGACUGAAUGGGCUUCCAGGAAAAGCCUCUAAGCAUCAGCUUGGAAUUGACCGUACCGCAAACCGACACUGGUGGGCGAGCUGAAUAUGCUCAGGCGCUUGAGAGAACUCAGGAGAAGGAACUCGGCAAAUUGACACCGUAACUUCGGGAUAAGGUGUGCCUUUGUAGUGUGAAGAGAGAAACACUCCGAGCAUGAAGAGGCCUCAGAGAAUCGGUGGCUGCAACUGUUUACUAAAAACACAGCACUCUGCAAAGAUGAAAGUCGACGUAUAGGGUGUGAUGCCUGCCCGGUGCUGGAAGAUUAAUUGAUGGGGUGCAAGCUCCUGAUCGAAGUCCCAGUAAACGGCGGCCGUAACUAUAACGGUCCUAAGGUAGCGAAAUUCCUUGUCGGGCAAGUUCCGACCUGCACGAAUGGCAUAAUGAUGGCCACACUGUCUCCUCCUGAGACUCAGUGAAGUUGAAAUGUUUGUGAUGAUGCAAUCUCCCCGCGGCUAGACGGAAAGACCCCAUGAACCUUUACUGCAGCUUUGCAUUGGACUUUGAACCGAUCUGUGUAGGAUAGGUGGGAGGCAGUGAAGCUAGGACGCCAGUCUUAGCGGAGCCAACCUUGAAAUACCACCCUGAUUUGUUUGAGGUUCUAACCUAGGAGCGUAAUCCGCUUCGGGGACCGUGCAUGGUAGGCAGUUUGACUGGGGCGGUCUCCUCCUAAAGGGUAACGGAGGAGUGCGAAGGUACGCUAGGUACGGUCGGAAAUCGUGCUGAUAGUGCAAUGGCAAAAGCGUGCUUGACUGCGAGACCGACAAGUCGAGCAGAUACGAAAGUAGGUCAUAGUGAUCCGGUGGCUCUGCAUGGAAGGGCCAUCGCUCAACGGAUAAAAG